GAUGAACGCUGGCGGCGUGCCUAAUACAUGCAAGUCGAGCGAACGGACGAGAAGCUGGCUUUUCUGAUGUUAGCGGCGGACGUGUGAGUAACAUGUGGUUAACCUACCUAUAAGACUAGGAUAACUUCGGGAAACCGGAGCUAAUACCGGGUAAUAUUUUGAACCUCAUGGUUCAAAAGUUAAAGAUGGUCUUGCUUUCACUUAUAGAUGGAUCCGCGCUUCAUUAGCUAGUUGGUAAGGUAACGGCUUACCAAGGCAACGAUGCAUAGCCGACCUGAGAGGGUGAACGGCCACACUGGAACUGAGACACGGUACAGACUCCUACGGGAGGCAGCAGUAGGGAAUCUUCCGCGAUGGGCGAAAGACUGCAGGAGCAACGCCGCGUGAGUGAUGAAGGUCUUCGGAUCGUAAAACUGUGUUAUUAGGGAAGAACAUAUGUGUAAGUAACUGUGCACAUCUUGACGGUACCUAAACAGGAAGCCACGGCUAACUACGUG
rnacentral:rRNA from 1 species